rnacentral:rRNA from 1 species
AUAGAGACUCAGAGCUGCAUAUCAAUAAGCGGAGGAAAAGAAACUAACUAGGAUUCCCUUAGUAACGGCGAGUGAAGCGGGAAGAGCUCAAAUUUGAAAUCUUCAAGGUUCUACCUUGACGAAUUGUAGUUUAUAAGAAGUGUUUUCUGUUAGUGGAGUUGGCUAAAAGUUCUUUGGAAUAGGACAUCAUAGAGGGUGAGAAUCCCGUAUUUGACCAUUACUUUCCAGCUGUGUGAUACACUUUCAAAGAGUCGGAUUGUUUGGGAAUGCAGUCCAAAAUGGGUGGUAAAUUUCAUCUAAAGCUAAAUAUUGGCGAGAGACCGAUAGCGAACAAGUACCGUGAGGGAAAGAUGAAAAGAACUUUGAAAAGAGAGUUAAACAGUACGUGAAAUUGUCAAAAGGGAAGCGUUUGACACCAGUGUUGUUUUUCCGAAAAUCAAUUACGAAUGUUUUAUUUUUGAGAAGUUAUGACUUCAUCGGCUUGCUUCUCUCUUUAUGAAACUUUCUUAAUGCACUUUUCGGUUAACAAGUCAACAUCAAUUUCUUUUGUUGUAAAAGGGUAUGAGGAAGGUGGCUUCAGCUUUCGGUAGAAGUGUUUAUAGCCUUUUACCUCUGCAGUCGGAGAGAUUGAGGUCUGCAGCGUAGAUCCUUCGGGGUUAGAUACAUUUGUGCUAAGUUAUAGCUUUUCAUAGACAACUUGUUGACUAUGUUAAGUCUUGUAGCUUACUCGCUUAUGCUAUUUUACCUACGCUUAGGAUGUUGAUAGUCACAGCGUGUAC